rnacentral:rRNA from 1 species
ACGGGGUGCAGCAGGCGCGAAAACUUUACAAUGUGGGCAACCGUGAUAAGGGAACCUCGAGUGCCUGUAUAUGCAGGCUGUCUGGGUGCCUAAAACACACCUAAAGAAAGGGCCGGGCAAGACCGGUGCCAGCCGCCGCGGUAAUACCGGCGGCUCGAGUGGUGGCCACUUUUAUUGGGCUUAAAGCGUUCGUAGCUGGGUUAUUAAGUCCCUUGGGAAAUCCGACGGCUUAACCGUCGGGCGUCUAAGGGAUACUGGCAAUCUUGGAACCGGGAGAGGCGAGGGGUACUUCGGGGGUAGGAGUGAAAUCCUGUAAUCCUCGAGGGACCACCUGUGGCGAAGGCGCCUCACCAGAACGGCUUCGACAGUGAGGGACGAAAGCUGGGGGAGCAAACCGGAUUAGAUACCCGGGUAGUCCCAGCCGUAAACGAUGUGCGUUAGGUGUAUCGGUGACCACGAGUCACCGAGGUGCCGAAGGGAAACCGUGAAACGUACCGCCUGGGAAGUACGGUCGCAAGGCUGAAACUUAAAGGAAUUGGCGGGGGAGCAC